rnacentral:rRNA from 1 species
GAUUGCCUCAGUAGCGGCGAGUGAAGCGGCAAAAGCUCAAAUUUGAAAUCUGGCGUCUUUGGCGUCCGAGUUGUAAUUUGAAGAAGGUAUCUUUGGGCCCGGCUCUUGUCUAUGUUCCUUGGAACAGGACGUCACAGAGGGUGAGAAUCCCGUGCGAUGAGAUGACCCGGGUCUGUGUAAAGUUCCUUCGACGAGUCGAGUUGUUUGGGAAUGCAGCUCUAAGUGGGUGGUAAAUUCCAUCUAAAGCUAAAUAUUGGCGAGAGACCGAUAGCGAACAAGUACAGUGAUGGAAAGAUGAAAAGAACUUUGAAAAGAGAGUGAAAAAGUACGUGAAAUUGUUGAAAGGGAAGGGCUUGAGAUCAGACUUGGUAUUUUGCAUGUUGCUCUCUCGGGGGCGGCCGCUGCGGUUUACCGGGCCAGCAUCGGUUUGGAGCGGCAGGAUAAUGGCGGAGGAAUGUGGCACGGCUUCUGCUGUGUGUUAUAGCCUCUGACGAUACUGCCAGCCUAGACCGAGGACUGCGGUUUUUACCUAGGAUGUUGGCAUAAUGAUCUUAAGUCGCCCGUCUUGAAACACGGACCAAGGAGUCUAACGUCUAUGCGAGUGUUUGGGUGUAAAACCCGUACGCGUAAUGAAAGUGAACGAAGGUGGGGGCCCAUUAGGGUGCACCAUCGACCGAUCCUGAUGUGUUCGGAUGGAUUUGAGUAAGAGCAUAGCUGUUGGGACCCGAAAGAUGGUGAACUAUGCCUGAAUAGGGUGAAGCCAGAGGAAACUCUGGUGGAGGCUCGUAGCGGUUCUGACGUGCAAAUCGAUCGUCGAAUUUGG